UCCCAUCUUAUUCCCAUAUCAGCAGGAAAAUUCACUCCAAUCAUCUCGCCAUUCUACACUUGGGAAAUCAGGUUUGCUUCAAUCUACCAUCCUUGAAUAUAUGCCCCACAUCUUGUUUCUGCGUCCUAAUCUUAUUAAGCUUGUAAUUAGUAGUUAGUGCAAGAUCGAAAAGGAGCUAUUGGCAAAACACCAUCCGCACCUGCUGAUAAAAUCACCGUGGGACAAGUGGCGCCUAAUCAUGAAAUAGCAGCAGAUUCAAUUGACAGUGAGAGAACAAUCAGUGAGGGUUAUGUGGGGAUCAUGUAUGGUGGUAGCCAAACCCACGAUGGCAACCUGGAAGGAGAAUCUUCUAUGGUACUGCUAGCAACAGAUUCAAGUGACAGCGAGAGAACAAUCAGUGAGGGUUAUGUGGGGAUCCUGUAUGGUGGUAGCCAAACCCAGGAUGGAGACCUAGAGGGAGAAUCUGCUAUGGUAUUGCCUGCUGUAGGAGAGAAUACCACGGCGAGAUCUAACAGUCAUGGUUAUAUGCGCAGCUUGGAAAUUGAUUCUGCCUCUCGUACUGAGAGGCAUGCUGCCAGGUCAGAUUCUGUUCUAGUGGCACAGUGCCGAGACUGCAUACAAAUUUACCCUGAGUGGCUGGAGAAAAUUGAUUCAGGCAAAAAGGUGUGGACAGCUCUCAAACAAUUUCAGGCAAGUGGGAAGCAUGAAGAGGUUAGUAUAUACACAUGUUCUGGUGUGCUCUGUCAUCAAAUAAUUUUCAUUGUGUGUUAAUCAUCUCAUAACAUAAGGAGUGUUUGCUUGAUGGGCAUUCAGACCAAAUGAUGAACGAAUUAGAUCCUAGGUUCUCCAAAAGAUGACAUUGUGUUUUGCUUCAAUUACCUGAUAAAUUUUCAGCCUUUGCAUCAAAAUGAUUUUAUGCAUUUGUUAUCACACUAACUUGUAUUUUUUUAAGCACAACCAUGCAUAUAUGUAAAAAAAACUCAUGGCCACUUGUGUGGUUGAUAGAAAUCAGUUAACAUCUCAAUUUCCUCAUGUGCUAUUGUAUGACUACGGAGGUUUUUUCUAACAUGCUCCCUCUUACCUCCCCUUUUCACAUGAGACGUAAGAGUAUAAAGUAAAUCUGAGUCAUUGAGUGCAUUAAGUAGUGGACUUGACUAAAUCUUACCUUCUUAACUCCCAUGUGAAAAGAUGGGGUAAGAGGAAGCAUGUUAAAAUGGCUCAUGAAUGUGGUGGUGCCGCCAGUGGCGGAGCUUGAGCAUAAUCCAAGAGGGCCAUUACUUGAAGGGGAGCAAAUUAGAUGGGAAGGAGGGGCAAAUAUCUAGUUUAAACACUAGUUAGGCUUAAAAUAUAGUAUAUUCAUUGAUGGGUGCAAAAAUUAAGGGGGGCCAUGGCCCCUAUUGGUCUACAUGAAGCUCCGCCACUUGUUGUUGCACAUUCUACCGUGUUGUUAUAGACACUGACUGAAUCUUGUUUUUGCACUAUAUCAAAAUGUACUAGCAGUCAUAAGACACCAAUCUGUCAGGAUCUCGGCUUUUGGCCUUCUGCUAGGAUGCACUAAAGAUAUUGAUAAGUCUCGCCAUUCCUGGAUGUUGUGAAGGUUACCUGACUGGAACAGAUUGUUCUGGAGAAGGAUAUGGCGGCGUGGCAAACCUAAAGUAGCAAUGAUGCAACAAAUGGAAUGUGAUCGAUAAUGGUAUUCUCUAUGGGUGCACACCAGAGAGCAUACAAAUUAGGGUCUGCAUGGACGACCAAAACACGUGGCAUUUUUUUAUCAACAUACCAAUAGGGUCUGCAUGGACGACCAAAACACAUGGCAUUUUUUUAUCAACUAUCCCAUCCUUUUUCCUUUGAUCUACUAACAUUGGUUUCAAGUUAUUGUAGAAGUUUCUUGUAGUGACUGGUUAAAAUAAUUCACACAUGUUCGGCUAUUCAUGCUAUGUUUUACAAUCUGUUCCGAUGAUGAAUAUCCAUUUUUCCAAAAAUAGUGCAUCUACCUCUGACUCUUUCGCAUUAAACUAUACAAUUGAAUUCGCUGAAGAAGGGAAAACCUCCCACUUUCAACCAAUAUGAGUUUGAUCUAAACCAGAUCAUACUACGGGCUGGGUCGGGUUUGGGUCGGGCUUCACAAAGCCUGGAGUCAACAAUCCAAGCCCAAGCCCGGCUUGGCCCGGCUAAAAGCACAUCGACAAUGGCUUCUCAAUUUAACUAAUUAUAUUUGGGAUAUUAAAAUGAUAUUAUAUACCUAUAUUUUGAAUAAAAUAUACAUUUGUUGCCAUUUCGGGCUUUUGGGCCGCGCUUCGGGCGAGAAAUUGAAGCCCAAGCCUACCCCAGAUGUCGGGCUUUGGGCUCGGGCCUCUUGGCCGGGUAGUCCAUGAACAGUUUUAGUUUGAUCUAUUCACUCACAUUUUGAUCCUCGUUCAUUAUAUCAUUUAACCAUAAUUCAUAUGAACAUGCACCACGUGAAUAUAAUAAAGAAAAUGGGACAAUUUGUAGUAUACAACGCCUUAUGGUGCGAUAUCACAGGAACAUUUUUCUCCUUGAUUACAGUGUCAAAUCAUAUAUUAUAUGACAAAUUAAGUAUAUUGUUUUGCUUAUUUCAGUAUUACCUUCAUAAGGAAUAUAGUCACAAAUUUUGCUCCAAACGCAACGUUAUUGAGUUCAUACGAAAUGGAACUGUGAAAGGGAAGCCAGUUCAGAAGGUGCCUAAAUACUUGACUUUCAAACAUAUAGUAAUUAUGCGAAGAUGUAUAUGUUUUUUGUAUUAACUUUAAAGUAUUAAUUUGACACGGUAUCCUAUUUUUGCACAGAGAUCAUCUGAUACUUCUACGAACAAUCUUCAGGGUAUGUCCAGUUGGCCAUGCAUUUGGAUAUUAUUUUGUCUACUAUUAUUACUAUAGAGAGAAAUCUAACUGAAACUGAAAUAUAAUAAAUAUUCAUGGAGAGAAAAAUAGACAUUAAUGUCCACAUACACAACACAAUUAGCCAGUACUAUCCUAGUUUACAUGAAUUAAUAUUUGCAAUGACAUUUAGGUUACUCAUGACAUGAUAAAGAAAAAGUUUUUUUUGCGAGGUAAGAUAAGGUUUUAUAUAACUGUUCAUGGGGACCUCCUCAUGGUUGCAGAUACAUAGUUUUACAGUGCUUCAUGAAAUAGUUGCAUAUCAUCAUGUCUAAAAGAAGAAUCAUGACGGACACAACUUCAAGAAUUCUUCUUGUAAAAUAACAUAAUUUGUAUAUACCUCAUAGAGGAUGUAACUUGUUGGUAGCAUUUAAUAUUGUGACAUACUCGCCAUCUUUUGUGCCAGCAUUAUUUGGGUGAUGAUUUAAUAUCCAAAAGCAUACAUCAAGGUAGUUAUGUGUAAUGAUAUUCUUGUGAAAGUAACUCUCAUAGUGUAUACUUGCAUAUAUGUAUUGUUCUAUUGUAUUCUCACAGUUAAUCCUUUUUCUUGAUGUUUUGUUUGUUUAUUUAUGUUUAGAGCAAGAUUAUAAAUUAAGCUGAGCAUAAUUUCUGCAGAUUAUAGAUGGCCCACUAAAAGACAAAGGACGAAGGCGCAAACUUCAAGUAAUUCUUCUUGCCACAUAGGUUUUCCUUAUUGUGCGAGGAUACCACUUGUAACUGCCUUCAGUCAUCUAUGUCAGUAGUAUUUUGAGAAGAAUUUCCUUACAAAAUGCAACGACUCAAACAAUCAGAUUUUUCAUGAUGAUUCCUAAUUGUAUAACCAAUAAGCUUAACACACCUUCCUAUUUUAGAGUUGUUAUCUUAAUAAAUAUAUACUAUCUAUUAUUAAUGUUGUUGUUGGGUGAAGAACAUUUGUUGCUCAUGGUUAGAAUGUAGAAUUUUAUUAACACAACAACCUAGAGCGAAUGUGGAGGCCAAUAUAGAUUGAAACCAUUAAUUCAUAUUAAAAUGGUCAUGAUUUCUUAUUUUUAUUUGACAUAGAUGUUUGUGACUUGUUUGAAUUAAUGUGUUCUUCCAUUAUUUGAUAUUUCUAUAUUCAUACUAUUUUUAUGAAAUGUGCAGCUAGUUUGUCAACCGGGGCACGAACAACCACAACUUCUACAAAGCUUCCACAUGGUUUCAUCUAGUAUCAUGCGGAAGACAUUGAGACAAUCAAGAUUACUUGAGCAACCUGAAUUAUGUUAGUUGUUACCUGCUUUCAAACGAAUGUGUCCUCUCAUAGUAUGUAUGUACUUCUGUUGUUGAGGAAUUUAUAUCAUUAGACAGUUCUAUUUUUAAUAAUUAUUGAUUAAUGGGUACAUACCUUCAAUCCUAGAAGACUGCCAGAUAGCCAGUCAAGGAAGCGAUUUGUUAUUGAACAGUGCAUAAUAGGGACAUUUUUACAUUCAAAGGAACAUCGUAGGAAUAAUUUGGUAUUUCGUGAAGAUUUUCCAGUCCCCUGCCCCAACCUACUUGAGACAGUAUGAGUGCUGACACACACAUUUGUAACGUAUGAGCAAGCUAGUGCAGUAGCUUCAGUCACAUGCUCUGGAAGCCCAUUUUGGGUCUUCCUUCAGAAGGCUCAACAAGGCCAUCACCACACCAUUCUAGUUAGUUACUUUUGCAAUGAUAUAUGUCCGUAAGAAAAUAAGAAGCUAGGGUUCUAGUAGACUUAUAAUGCUCUAACAGCACCAUGUUGGAUAUGCCCGCACAAAUAAAAUAACAUGAGUCGAGUCUAUUUUGUAAGCACAUAUCUUGUCACCAGUCAACUACUAGUACAGUAAGAGCAUCAAAGAGGAAUUCAUUUCAUAUAGAAUAGUCGCAUACAUAUACUUCUGUUCGGCACAUACUGCUCAUUAUCAUGGACAAUGAUGUAGCUAGCUAAAAUGGAGCACGUGGCUAUAUAUAAUGUAAGGAGGGAAGCUCCAGGGACGAGCUCGACAAACAGAACUAACCUGCUCUUGCAAAGAACCAGUAAGCCUUGCUACAUUGCCACCUGCAUGCUGCAGGGCAUCGCGUCCACCAGCUACUGUGGUAUGUCGCAACUCUGUCCUCUCAUCUUUUCACCGAAGCGGUCGUUGGCGAAUUCUAAUCUUUCUGGAACAACAUUCGUAAUUCCCUGCACUAGAAGGUCAUCAUGAUGCAUCGGCACAUCUGAAUUCUAGCCACAUUAACAAAAUCUUUUCCCAAACCAAAUUAAGGGAGAAAUGAGAAAUGAAGGAGAGCACCAAAUAGUAAGUUAGGUUACACAUAUAUAUAGAAAUGUCGUUCAUAGUAAAAACAACCGGAAGUGUAUCAAUGUUGUUUGCUUAGGUGGCUGAAACCAAGGUCCUAUUCACUCGGAUGAUGAACCUACUAAAUAAAAGGUUUCUCAAAAUCGCCUCACAACUAGAGUCGAGUAACACAGUCAUGAUCCCAUGGGGUUAUAGGAUAACGACAUGCAAAUGUGGUUAACACAAUCAGCUCUCUCAUUAAGAUUUGUCUUAUUUUUUAUCACUACGGGAAAAUUCAUGUUUGCCGAGUGUCAGUGUCUUUCCUGAGUGCAUUUUGUCGGGCACUCGGCAAACAUAUGUUUGCCGAGUGUAAUCCUCAAACACGGUAAACAGGUGCUUUGCCGUCUGUCGUGGUAAAAAACACUGGCAAAAAAAUUAUAGUUGCUGAAAGGUGCUUUGUUGAGUGUCUUGGAAAUAACUCUCGGCAAAAUAGUGCAACACGGGCAAAGAUGUGCUUUCCCGAGUGCUACACUCGGCAAAAGGGGGUAUGCACUGCGCUCACUGUUUUGGCUGUCGAGAUUGCAUACAACCUCGGAUGAAGAUGAUCCAAAAAUCAAAGUUUUACAUUUCGACAAGAUGAAUAAUUUUCAUGUUGAGGACCUUUUCAUUUUAGGCCAUAUUAUUUACACUUUUUGCCAUGCCAAAAUAUGGUCUCAAAUGAAUAAGGUGGUGGUCAUAUUUAUUGCAUAGUUUAUGACUAUGGGCCUAACCUUGGCAUUUAUGUGCAUCUUGCCAUUACAAACAAUGUUGCCAAAUAGAGUUUCCAACAUUUCAUACAAAAAAAUUCUAUUUUUUCAAGUGUAAAAAAUUGAUACUUUUGUGAAGCUGCUAAAAAUAUCGAGUGCAACAUGGCAUCACUCCAAUAUUCACAAAAAUAUAUCGUAUUUUUUUAGAAAAUUCCCAUUUUUUGUGGAUUUUCUAGAUUUCUAGCUACUUUCACAUAUUUAAAUGACUUUAUUAUGAUUCCACGAAAUUAAUUCAAUUUGAACUGUAAUUGUGUGAUAGCUCUGUCCUAGAAAUUUGUAAAAAAUACUUUUAGGUACACAAGUAGUCAUUACAUGGAAAACCCACUUAGAGUUUGAGAGAUUCAACCCCUUGACAUGAAUAGCCAUGGCGGCCACUCUCACCCCGUUUUGGAAAAAAUGAAACAAAAAGGAUACAAGUUCAAAAAAUGUAAUCCUUUCAUAUGGACUCCUUUUAUGUGUACUAGUGUGGAUGAAAAUACCAAACUUUCAAUAUGACAGUUUUGAAAGAAAAAUAUCCUGCACAAAUGGGCUAUCUUCUAUGAACAUUCAUGGCUUUCAAGUCAAAUGACCAAGGUGAUGACCAUAUUCAUUGCAUAGUUUAUUAUAAUGUGCCCAAAUUAGACAUAUAGGUGAACCUUGCCAUUACAAAUAAUGUUGCAAAAUAGAGUUUCCAACUUUUUUGUACAAAAAAACAUUUUCUAUUUUCUAAGUGUAAAAAAUGGGUGUUUUUCGUACCAAAAACAGGGUACAAAGUGGCACCACUCCAAUUUUCACAAAAAGUAGACUGUAUUUUAUGGACAAUUCCCAAAGUCUGUAGAUUUAUUUCUAAAAAUAACAAUUGGUGUAUUUUUUAAUAUUUAAUGAAAAUAAUAUUUUUAUUUUUAAUGGGAAGGGAGGAUAUUUAAAGGAUAGCAUGGACAUCUGAGGGUGUACGUUGAAGCGUUGGAGGUGCCUUUAUGUGCCAGUUUACGACAUGCUCAACCAGCAAUGUGGUAGUAUUAAUCAGUAUAUACUUUUAAUUGUAAAAGAAAUCAAUAUAUAAUUUGUUUUGAUUAUUUUAGUAUGCAGGGCAAACUGAAAAUGGAUUUAUUUAGCCAAUUUUUGUGAAAUCACUAAUUAGGAGGUACCUUUUGCAAAGGUCACACCCCACUUUCAUUGGUGCUGACAGGUGGCACAUGGCAUGUGUGCCACUUGUCGCAACAUGGGAAUUUCCUCCUUUGUGUAGAAUCAUUUUUUAAUCUUUGAUCCCUUGAACCGCGCAUUCAAAUCACGACCCAUUUUUAUCUUUGGAUUUCUCGAGCCGAGAUCUUUGAAACUAGGUCGCAUGUUAAUAAGUUUCGAUGAACUUUUUCUUCACGAAAAUCAAAAAUCAAAAAAAUAUGAAAACAAAAAAUACAGAAAAAAAACUAAAAUCACGGUUGUGCUUUUUUACAUUUUUGAGAAGAACAAUUGUGCUCUCCCCUUUUCGGGAAACACGGUUUUGCUUCUUGUGCAAGCAUAGGUCGUGCUUUUCCCUUUUCAAGAAGCACAGGCCAUGCUUCUCUUGCUUCUGGGAAACACAUAUGUGCCUUUCCUUUUCGGGGAGCACAGUUUUCUCUUUUUUCGAAAAAGCAUAGAUGUGUUUUUCCCUCUUCAGAGAAGCACUACCUAUGCAUCUCACCGAAGAACAUGUUAUGCUUUUCCUUUUUUGAGGAAGUAUAGUUGUUCUUUCCCUUUUUACAGGGAAGCAAAAAAUGUGCUUCCUCCUUCUUGGGAAGCUGUGCUUCCCGCGGAAAAGCACCGCCUCAUGAAAAAACAUAAAAAAGUGUUUUUUUAUCAAAACCUAGGGAAAACUAAGAAAAAAAGAAAACAUGUGUAAAAAAUCUAAGGGUGUACCCAGCGCACGACACAUGGCAGCAAUUGGAUGCAUCACUUGAUGCGCUCUCAGGUCCUAAAAGUGACCUCUGUGGAAUCCCCCGAUGAGAUACUUGUUAGAUAGUUGGAGACCUCCUUGCAUCAAAUAGGAGGGUGGCCACAAAGGGGGCGCAUCCUUGUGGGCCGGCCUAGCAGCGUGCUGCACUCUAUUGCAAAUUGCUCAAAACUUAGAAAGUGAUGUGUGAGCAAAGCGCGCAUGGCUAGCCACUCAAGCUAAUGAAACUCUGCUAACUACUAGGCCGUGUUGAACUUUAAAAAGUAGUAUAUGAUACCCCGUGCGUUGUUGCGGGAACUCUUAGUACUUUACAUGAAGAAGCUUGUGGAGUGAAAAUAAUUGAAUGAUGAAAAAAAUACUUUUUAAAACCUUUGGUGGUACUUUUAGGAAGAUUAUGGAGUGAAAAUAAGUAAACAAUUAAUAUAUUUUUGAACCUUUGAUGGUAUUUUUUGAAUCGUGAGAGCAAUGGUAUAUCAGGGUAUCUCCGUAUUUGUGUAGUUAGAACGUGUCACCCUUUAGCGGGGAAUUAAAUGCAUCACUAACAUUAAAAAUAGAGCAUAUAGUAUGAUGGGAAUUUCACUGAAAACAUGGCCAGCCUAGUCUAAAGCUGAAUAUUACACUGAACAGAGAGUGCCAACACAAAAGCACUAAUGCUUGUUGAGUUCUUUGUAAUAUAGGAGCAGAAUCUCUUCGAAAGAGAAAUUCCAAAAUAUUAAAAAGAUCCAACAGUAAGACAUCCAUACACGUUACAGUUUAUACAUGGC
rnacentral:lncRNA from 1 species